rnacentral:lncRNA from 1 species
UGCGCCUGGAGCUUGCUGGUUACAUGAUGGAUUCACAGUGCAGGCUUGCUAAACUGAGCACCCAAACACAUGUGCCAAACCAGGUCCCUUGCUAGCGCACCCACGCGCACCUAGGCACCCCUGCCACUCCAUGCUCCUCGCCCUUUUCACUCGUUGCAGGUGGAUGAAAUGCUCCAUGCGCCCUUUGCAUGCAUCCACGCAUACCGUACAUACACAUAUAGCUCUAACACACUUCCCAUGCAUCUGCAUUGCUUGCCCUCUCCAUCCCCUCCAGCGCCUCCCCCACCUCGAACGUGGCAUACCCUUAACCCACCUCGAACGUGGCAUACCACUCCUCAGACCAUAUCGUACGUCAUUUGCACUAGGUUACUACUGCAAUUAAGAACGCCCGCACGUAAGAACAGCAAUCGCCGGUUCCAUUGCAGUAGUCGGGGCGCAUGCCGCCCGUGGAAAGGGUGGCGAAAGGUCCUUCGACUUGACGUACGUGCCGCACAGAACGCACCAGCCCUUCUCGACGCCCAUUGCAGCGAACGCCUGCAUGCACAACAGAGAACCCAAUUCAUACACCUCAGAUAACAGCAAGUAAUGGUUAGGAAUGUGGGUCGAUGACAUGCAAUCGGCACGCCACCACCAGACCGGGCGUUGUUAACCACAGGGAACUAGCCCUAUGUUGACCAUAUGCUCAUAUGAUAACGAAACACAAUGUGGGCACGGCUGUAUGCAUGCGUUUGCCCGGGGCCAGUGCAUCCCGAUGCUGCGAGCUGACAUUGACGAGUGUGGUGGGAACGAAUGCGUACGUAGACCAGAGCGGACGGCGGAGUGGGCUUGGCUGGCGUGCCGUAGGUGCGCUCGGCCCUCCAUCCAGUCAAUCGGCAUCCUGAGUAUACUAGAAAUAGCGGAACGAGCCAAGGCAAACAAUUUAUGACGUGCAAGGAAUGUUGCAUGGCGCCCCGAGUUCGAAACUGCAUUGGUUAACUGCAGUGCGCUGCAGGUGCCAUGAUCCCUGGUGUUGAUGCAUGUGGUGCUGGUAGCGGGUACCAAAAGCUGGCCCCUCUGCACCCGGACCCCCGCUUCAAACUGCGAGCUAAAAUCCUGGACGCGCGGGCAACGCUUUGCAGAUUUCGUCCGUGACCACCUCGUUGAUAUGGUAUAGGUAAUAGCGGAAAGGCUUGAUACAGGUAUAAGAAGCAGCAGAGCGUUAAAAUGUGAAGCAACCAAAGCCAGCGACGCCUCAGAUGAUAUGCCCGAUGCGCUAGGCUAAAUAUAGGAGCAAAGGAUAGCCCAUAUCAUUCAUCGGAACAAGACUAAGGGCGGUGCCGGCGACCCUACCGUCAGAGCAGAGCCCUCCAGCGCCCAGAGCAGCCAACAGCGACCGCCUUGUCCGCUUCGCUCCAUCUACUUCGUAACACUUCUAGAUGGUCACCUGGCGCACCGGGCGCUGCAUCGAGGCCGGAAAUGCGGUAAUGCUGUUCACAUGGUCAAGUUUCGUCAAAGGCCAGUAAACUAGUCGCCCGGCGCGCCAGGGGUCUUCUAUGGGGUACUCCUUAUAGGUCUAUGCAAAGAAAUCGGGCCGGGGCCUGGUCGCAACUGGGAAUUGGGGGCGGUUGCCGACCGUUACCGAUCACAUGGGCCGAGUUGGCCACCCCGCACCCCUGACUUGCGUCGUGUAAUUGCAAGUCUUGGCCGAUCUCAC